rnacentral:rRNA from 1 species
GACGAACGCUGGCGGCGUGCUUAACACAUGCAAGUCGAACGAAGAGCGAUGGAAGCUUGCUUCUAUCAAUCUUAGUGGCGAACGGGUGAGUAACGCGUAAUCAACCUGCCCUUCAGAGGGGGACAACAGUUGGAAACGACUGCUAAUACCGCAUACGAUCUAAUCUCGGCAUCGAGGAUAGAUGAAAGGUGGCCUCUACAUGUAAGCUAUCACUGAAGGAGGGGAUUGCGUCUGAUUAGCUAGUUGGAGGGGUAACGGCCCACCAAGGCGAUGAUCAGUAGCCGGUCGGGGAGGAUGAACGGCCACAUUGGGACUGGGACACGGCCCAGACUCCUACGGGAGGCAGCAGUGGGGAAUCUUCCGCAAUGGACGAAAGUCUGACGGAGCAACGCCGCGUGAGUGAUGACGGCCUUCGGGUUGUAAAGCUCUGUUAAUCGGGACGAAAGGCCUUCUUGCGAAUAGUGAGAAGGAUUGACGGUACCGGAAUAGAAAGCCACGGCUAACUACGUG